rnacentral:rRNA from 1 species
CGUAGGGUGCGAGCGUUAAUCGGAAUUACUGGGCGUAAAGUGUGCGCAGGUGGCCGCGCAUGUCGAGUGUGAAAUCCCCGGGCUUAACUUGGGAAUUGCGCUCGAAACUACGUGGCUUGAGUGUGGCAGAGGAAGGUGGAAUUCCAGGUGUAGCGGUGAAAUGCGUAGAGAUCUGGAGGAACACCGAUGGCGAAGGCAGCCUUCUGGGCCAACACUGACACUCAUGCACGAAAGCGUGGGGAGCAAACAGGAUUAGAUACCCUGUAGUCCACGCCCUAAACGAUGAUGACUAGUUGUUGGAGGAGUUAAAUCCUUUAGUAACGCAGCUAACGCGUGAAGUCAUCCGCCUGGGGAGUACGGUCGCAAGAUUA